CCUACGGGCGGCAGCAGUGAGGAAUAUUGGUCAAUGGGCGCAACUCUGAACCAGCCAAGUCGCGUGAAGGAUGAAGGUUCUAUGGAUCGUAAACUUCUUUUAUAAGGGUAUAAACUGCGGCACGUGUCCCGUAUUGUAUGUCCCUUAUGAAUAAGGAUCGGCUAACUCCGUGCCAGCAGCCGCGGUCAUACGGAGGCUCCGAGCGUUAUCCGGAUUUAGUGGGUUUAAAGGGUGCGUAGGCGGCCUAUUAAGUGAGCGGUGAAAUGCCGUGGCUCAACCAUGGAAUUGCCGUUGAAACUGGGAGGCUUGAGUGUGUUGGAGGCAGGCGGAAUGCGUGGUGUAGCGGUGAAAUGCUUAGAUAUCACGAAGAACACCGAUUGCGAAGGCAGCCUACCAAGCCAUGACUGACGCUGAGGCACGAAAGCGUGGGGAUCAAACAGGAUUAGAUACCCUAGUAGUC
rnacentral:rRNA from 1 species